AGCAGACGAACUGUAACCGCGAAUUCAAUGCUGACGAAAGCGACUUGUAAAAAAUCCUAGUAACAUUAGUUUUACCCUCCUCAUUUGGUUCAUUGGUUGACCAUCGCUCUAUAUAUUUAAAAUGGCAUCCGAUAUCGAAGAUUUGAAGAAUCUCGUAUUGUGUAAAGUUCAAGAAGGCGAAAAUCUCUUGCAACAAGUGCACUGUCAUUUUGCUAACGUGGAGGGCAGUAAAAAACUGGAAAGACGCAUUCGUUCUGAAAUUAAGUUCUUACAAAGAUUACUUGAUGUUGAAAUGGAAGUAAAGAAGGAGCACAUGUUAUCUAGCAAUUUAGGUUCAUUGGCUGCUGUUGUGGACAUUCUUCAUCAAUGUGAAAGCCCUGCAGCUAUCUUUAAACCUUUCAGUUUAAAAAAUGGCUCCAGUAACCGCAUUGAGGUGGAUGUUGUAUCCAAAGGAGGAAAAGUUUGGCACAAAGCAAUCGCUCGGAAAGCAGAGGCAUUGGAAGACAUAUCUAAAGGAAGAACAUCGUGUGGCCAGAAAUCUGUGAUUGAUCAAGCAUCAGCAUACAUAAAAUGUGCAAGACUGCAUCCUCAUCUGUUUAAUCCUCCUCAGGUUGUCUUCCACUUCUUCAACAGCAUCAGCUCAUCAAUUGUUGUGAAACUGAAGAAACGGGGAGUGGAGGUUGAGGGAGAAAUCAGACCGAUAAUGGAAAAUUCGUUUUCCGAAAGCGACACUAGCAGCAGCUGUGAUAGUGAUGAAGACGACAGCGAGGGCUAUGAAGGAUACAACGAAAUAAAUGAAGGGAUGUCAACUUCACCUCAUUCCAACCUGGAUAAUCUCAGGCAAAGUGACAAGCUCUUCCUCGACAUCACUUGCAUGGUGGCAUACGUCUCUUCGAUGACCAAUGGUGGAGCCAAUUAUAUUUUCCCUAGAGCGAUCUAUAACCAGCAGGCCGAGUGGGAGCGUUCAUCUCCCGCCAAGCCCAAGCUAGAUGCUCUGUUUGGAGAUAAACAGCUAGUCACUUGCCGCGAAGCCCUUACCGAUUUUCAAACUCUGGUGGAACGAAUGGGAGGUACUGGAGAGAAACAGCGAAUGAGGGAACUGAUUGCCCGUUUGGAUAUUGUUGAAGAUACGCCUUGUGGAAGAGUUGCCCAGUUGCAGCUAACGAGCAACGUCAAAACGAGAUCAAGAUUGAUUUUUUGCACUGCCGACAAAUUGGGCAUCGUCGUUGUUACAGCCAACACCGGUUUCGUCCGAUCAGCGGCUAGCCAGGGAAUAGAAAUAGCUCAUUUUGUGCACGAGCCAAGGGUUUUAACGGAGCAACAGGAGCCUUUUUCAAUUCCUCUAAAGACUCCCGAUAGUGCGUCAAAUGUGUGAGGAUUGCCGUAAUCCUUUUUGGGACGCAUUCUUGUCCUCUUCAAGUGUGUCGUCAUAUUCCAAAGUGUAAGACAAUCCCUCGUCAGUUCGAUACCGGUACUGUCGAUUUCCCUCGCCAUUUUGAAGAUUUGUGUGUUUAACUCACAGGAACAAAAGAGCUUAAGGUGCCAGCCAACAAUUUUCGUUUGCAAAAGCAGAAUUCAGGAGAUUAGAAGGUUGAGCCGAGAAAGCUUCUCGAUGUCAUUCCUGUGGUGUGAUGAGGUAAGCCCGAAAAUGUUGACAGAGGAAGGCCCAAGUUCUAGAGCUACCGCCAUCGAAGAUUUAUAGCGGACGAUUUAAUGUUUUUGCUUGGUAGGUCGAAUGGUGAUAAACAAAAAUCGGGAAAAUCCUCUGAUUGUAUGCCGUAGAUGCAUAGAGUCUGUGUUGCGUAAUUCCCUUCACCCUCGUCUCUUCUAUAAAGAGGUUGGGUUGGGCUCUUGAUUGUAAUGAAACUGUUGUCACACAGUAUUUAGCUCUACCAGCAGCAACUGCGUUUAACUUUUCGUGUACCCGAUCGAUUCCAUUUGGGACUUUGACCAAAGAAAAAAAAAAAAAAAAGAACUUGGGUGCAAGGAUGAAAGAGAGAAAU
rnacentral:misc_RNA from 1 species